rnacentral:rRNA from 1 species
CGCCCAUGAGGGCGUCUAUACUGCAGUCGACGAACUCUGGUAUUGAUUGGUGCUUGCAUCAUGAUUUACAUUUGAGUGAGUGGCGAACUGGUGAGUAACACGUGGGAAACCUGCCCAGAAGCGGGGGAUAACACCUGGAAACAGAUGCUAAUACCGCAUAACAACUUGGACCGCAUGGUCCGAGCUUGAAAGAUGGCUUCGGCUAUCACUUUUGGAUGGUCCCGCGGCGUAUUAGCUAGAUGGUGGGGUAACGGCUCACCAUGGCAAUGAUACGUAGCCGACCUGAGAGGGUAAUCGGCCACAUUGGGACUGAGACACGGCCCAAACUCCUACGGGAGGCAGCAGUAGGGAAUCUUCCACAAUGGACGAAAGUCUGAUGGAGCAACGCCGCGUGAGUGAAGAAGGGUUUCGGCUCGUAAAACUCUGUUGUUAAAGAAGAACAUAUCUGAGAGUAACUGUUCAGGUAUUGACGGUAUUUAACCAGAAAGCCACGGCUAACUACGUGCCAGCAGCCGCGGUAAUACGUAGGUGGCAAGCGUUGUCCGGAUUUAUUGGGCGUAAAGCGAGCGCAGGCGGUUUUUUAAGUCUGAUGUGAAAGCCUUCGGCUCAACCGAAGAAGUGCAUCGGAAACUGGGAAACUUGAGUGCAGAAGAGGACAGUGGAACUCCAUGUGUAGCGGUGAAAUGCGUAGAUAUAUGGAAGAACACCAGUGGCGAAGGCGGCUGUCUGGUCUGUAACUGACGCUGAGGCUCGAAAGUAUGGGUAGCAAACAGGAUUAGAUACCCUGGUAGUCCAUACCGUAAACGAUGAAUGCUAAGUGUUGGAGGGUUUCCGCCCUUCAGUGCUGCAGCUAACGCAUUAAGCAUUCCGCCUGGGGAGUACGGCCGCAAGGCUGAAACUCAAAGGAAUUGACGGGGGCCCGCACAAGCGGUGGAGCAUGUGGUUUAAUUCGAAGCUACGCGAAGAACCUUACCAGGUCUUGACAUACUAUGCAAAUCUAAGAGAUUAGACGUUUCCCUUCGGGGACAUGGGAUACAGGGUGGUGCAUGGAUUGUCGUCAGCUCGUGUCGUGAGAUGUUGGUUAAGUCCCGCAACGAGCGCACCCUUAUUAUCAGUUGCCAGCAUCAGGUGACACCUCUGGUGAGACUGCCGAUGACAAUCUGAAGGAAAGGUGGGGAUGAACGGUUCAAAGUCCAGUC